ACAUGCAUACAACAUAGAGUUAAUGCAUCAAAUCCCAUUAAAAAUUUGCAGUUAAGCGUGCUCAGGCUAGAGUAAUACUGGGAUGGGUGAUUUCCUGAGAAGUCCUAGUGUCUUACAUGCC
rnacentral:rRNA from 1 species